GAUGGGGUAGCCAAGUAGUUAAGGCAAAGGAUUGCAAAUCCUUUAUCUCUGAUUCAAAUCCAGGCCCCGCCU
rnacentral:tRNA from 1 species